rnacentral:rRNA from 1 species
CAGUAGCCACGGUAAUACGUAGGGUGCGAGCGUUAAUCGGAAUUACUGGGCGUAAAGCGUGCGCAGGCGGUUCGUUAAGACAGAUGUGAAAUCCCCGGGCUUAACCUGGGAACUGCAUUUGUGACUGGCGGGCUAGAGUAUGGCAGAGGGGGGUAGAAUUCCACGUGUAGCAGAGAAAUGCGUAGAGAUGUGGAGGAAUACCGAUGGCGAAGGCAGCCCCCUGGGCCAAUACUGACGCUCAUGCACGAAAGCGUGGGGAGCAAACAGGAUUAGAUACCCGCGUAGUCCCUGUCUCUUAUAC